rnacentral:rRNA from 1 species
UACGGGGGGAGCAAGCGUUGUUCGGAUUUACUGGGCGUAAAGGGCGCGUAGGCGGUCAGCACAAGUCAGUUGUGAAAUCUCCGGGCUUAACUCGGAAAGGUCAACUGAUACUGUGCGACUAGAGUGCAGAAGUGGCAACUGGAAUUCUCGGUGUAGCGGUGAAAUGCGUAGAUAUCGAGAGGAACACCUGCGGCGAAGGCGGGUUGCUGGGCUGACACUGACGCUGAUGCGCGAAAGCCAGGGGAGCGAACGGG